AGGGAAAAAGCCUAUCUUCUGGUUGCUUUGUGAAUUGUGAACUAAAGAUACAGAGAGAAAACAGAUUGCCCAGACCCGAAUAUCAUCCCCAGGAUCUGAAGACUCAAAAAUCGCUCUUCAGGCUUGUUGUGGAUUUUUCUGAGAAGAAUCUGUGAAAUUAUGUGAAUAGAGACUUACUUUGUAAAGCCAUGGGGGAAAGAGAAAGAAGUCCAGCCACUGAUCGAGAAGGUAAGACAAGCAGAAACUGUUCGUCUUACUCUUCAUCUGAUUCUGGAACUACUCCACAGUCUUCUGGCCGGUCAUCGCUGGUGCAUCCCUCCCCGCCUGCAAGUAUUAAGGGAAAAUAUCCUAAAAAACAAACUUCAGAUAGCCAAGUGCAUCAUCACGCCCCUAGGAAACCAAGCCCUAAGGGUCCACCAAACAGAAAGGGAGUCCGAGCAGGAUUUCGCUCCCAGAGCCUCAAUAGGCAGCCACUUCAAAAAGAUCCUGAUCGCGUUACAAAACAGGUUCUUUGUGCAAGACAGCUAAAAAUCAAUGAACUGCAGAACGAAGUAACUGAGCUCCAGGUCAAGUUGGCCGAGCUGCUGAAAGAAAAUAAGGCUUUGAAAAGGCUUCAGUACAGGCAGGAGAAAGCCCUAAAUAAGUAUGAAGACACAGAAAACGAAAUCUCACAACUUAUUGCUCGUCAUAACAAUGAGAUUACAGCACUCAAAGACCGCUUAAGAAAAUCUCAAGAGAAAGAACGAGUAUCUGAAAAAAGGGUGAAAGAGACAGAAGGCGAACUACUUAGGACAAAAAUUUCCUUACAGAAACUGAAAAAGAUCUCUGAAGCUAAACACCUACCUGAACGAGUUGAUUUAGCAAAGAAACUCGCUUCUGCAGAGUUAAAAUUAGAUGACACAGAGAGAAGAAUUAAGGAACUAUCAAGAAACCUUGAGCUAAGUACUAACAGUUUGCAGCGACAGUUGCUUGCUGAAAGGAAAAGGGCGUGUGAGGCUCAUGAUGAAAAUAAACUUCUUCAAAAGGAGCUACAAGGACUAUAUGACAAAUUAAAGGAAAAGGAGAGAGAACUGGACAUAAAAAACAGAUAUUCUCAUCGUCUGCCAAAGACUUCAAAGAAAGAAAAAGAAUUUGCAUCAAGAAAAAAUGCUGCAUGCCAGAGUGAUUUUACAAACCAGUGUACAAAAGGAAUACAAACCAGUGACGACUUCAAGCUGGAGGACUAUCCUAUAACACCACAGACAGUUAUGUGUUAUGAGAACAAAAGGGAAGAACCUGAACGUCUUUCUUUGGAUAUGGAAUCUCAAGAGAGAGAUAAUCUUGGAGAAGUUCGGAUUCUAAACCCAACUGUGGAAAGAGAAGACAAAUUUGCUAAAGAUCAAGGACUCCGUGUUGUGAAACAGGAUGUUGAGAAGCUGGAGAAUGGAUGGGAAAGAGAAAAACUUGCUAAAAUGCCAAAGCAAAAGACAUCUUUGUUGGAAAGAGAAGGAAAGCCAAUGUUGGAAACUGGACAGUACCAAGCGGAAAUGUACCAAGUUCAGAAAAUUGAUAAACUGGAAGAAGGGAGGCUAAAGAGAGAAAUGCUACUUGCUAAACUGAAUGAAAUCAACAGAGAACAAGACUCUCAGAAUGUAAAAUAUCCUUUGCUGCCAUCGCUUCCUGACUUGAAACCAAAACUGCGUUCCCCAGAGAGAAACCCCAGAACACACAUGUCCUCUGGAUCCUCAGAGAGAUUACUUAACGGGCAUCAUCUGCAAGACCUCAGUCUUUCAACGACCAAAGAAGAUGGUCAGGAUCCAGGCCGUACUCGAAGCCCAGCCUCUCCAGCUGAGCUUGUGUUUGGCAGCUAUGUGCCUUCAUUUGCAAAAACACCAGUGAGGUCAAAUCCAGUUAGCCAAAAAAGUGACCUUUUGGGUUUCUCAGGAAAUAAUACAGAGAAAUUUAGUAAAGACGGCAUAGAUUCAGUUACCCGACGAGAAAGAAAAGCCAGCCUGAUGGAACUGCUGUUUGGUGCCAGUGGCGGCAGCAGCCUUUCCUCCAAAAGCAGUGACCCAGGUUCUCUGGCUGCCACUAAAGAAGACUGUGACUCUCUAAACUUUCUCCCUGGGGAUAAAAGCAGCUGGGAUAGGGAGCAUAGAGAUGAUGAUGACUCUUUCCUCAGCAAAGGAAGAAGUUUUAAUCCAAGCAGACACCGAUUGAGACAUGCAAACAGUAAACCAGCGGUAAAAGCAGUUGAUUCUGUAGAAGAUGAAAUUGAAGAAGUAGUGCUGAGAUGA
rnacentral:lncRNA from 1 species